rnacentral:lncRNA from 10 species
ACUCUGAAGGGCUGGGAACUCCGGUUUCUACAUUCUAUUUGGUGUUUCCAUGGAUAGGCGUUUACUUCCACAUACUCCCUACGCUACACAUCCACACUAAGUGCUGCUAACCACUUUUAUAUACACAGUCAUACAGUUGGGGUGAUUUAAUGGUUUAUCAUCCAAACGAGUUGUAACACCUGAAUGGCCAUUAAGGUGAGUGCACCCAUGUUCAGGGCAGGAAAACACCUGCCAAACUGGCUGCAGCAUUCAGGAAACUCCACCAAGCUUUUCGAUGAGUUCACAUUGCACUGCCUGAACACAACCGCUGGGGUGGGUUCCUUCUCCUUGAGACUGCAUUUUAGAAUGUCAGUUACACCAGGUCUCCUUUGAGUGAGGAAGUGGGAGACACAUUAGAAACCCAAGGAGACCAGCUUCCUCUUCUCAGACAACCCCAAGCAACAGCACAAUUGGAUGUCAGACAAAGGGUCAUUUUUACCUCCCCUCUUCCCAUCCACGGCUCCAACUACAGGAGCAUCACCAUUAGGGAGGGGUAAGGGGCACACCUUAAGCAGGUUUGAGAUG